rnacentral:lncRNA from 1 species
AACCCCAUGAAAUUUGAUUGAGUUGUGUGAACGAUAAAAAUGUUGUUUUUAAACCCAUGAAAUUUGAUUGAAUUAUGUGAAUGAUGAAAAUUUUGUUGUUGUUAAAUUCAUAAAAUUUGAUUGAAUUGUGUGAAUGAUGAAAAUGUUGAUGUUAAACCAAUGAAAUUUGAUAGAAUUGUGUGAACAUUGAAAAUGUUGUUGUUGUUGAACCCAUGAAAUUUGAUUGAAUUGUAUGAAUGAUGAAAAUGUUGUUGUUGUUAAACCCAUGAAAUUUGAUUGAAUUGUGUGAAUGAUGAAAAUGUUGUUGUUAAACUCAUAAAAUUUGAUUGAAUUGUAUGAAUGAUGAAAAUGUUGUCGUUAAAGCCGUGAAAUUUGAUUGAAUUCUGUAAGGACGAAAAUGUUAUUUUUAAACCGAUAGAAUUUGAUUGAAUUAUGUGAAUGAUAAAAAUGUUGUUGUUGAACCCAUGAAAUUUGAUUGAAUUUUAUGAAUGAUGAAAAUGUUGUUGUUGUUAAACCCAUGAAAUUUCAUUGAAUUGUGUGAAUGAUGAAAAUGUUGUUACUAAACUCAUAAAAUUUGAUUGAAUUGUAUGAAUGAUGAAAAUGUUAUCGUUAAACCGUGAAAUUUGAUUGAAUUCUGAAAAGGAUGAAAAUGUUAUUUUUAAACCGAUAGAAUUUGAUUGAAUUAUGUGAAUGAUAAAAAUGUUGUUGUUAAACCCAUGAAAUUUGAUUGAAUUGUGGGAAUGAUUAAAAUGUUCCUGUUAAACCCAUGGAAUUUGAUUGAAUUUUGUGAAUGAUGAUAAUAUUGUAGUUAAACCCAUGAAAUUUGAUUUAGUUGUGUGAACGAUAAAAAUGUUGUUCUUAAACCCUUGAAAUUUGAUUGAAUUGUGUGAAUGAUGAAAAUGUUGUUGUUGUUAAAUCCAUG